rnacentral:rRNA from 1 species
UACGUAGGGUGCAAGCGUUGUCCGGAAUUAUUGGGCGUAAAGAGCUCGUAGGCGGUCUGUCGCGUCGGAUGUGAAAAUCCAGGGCUCAACCCUGGACCUGCAUUCGAUACGGGCAGACUAGAGUUCGGUAGGGGAGACUGGAAUUCCUGGUGUAGCGGUGAAAUGCGCAGAUAUCAGGAGGAACACCGGUGGCGAAGGCGGUGGUCUGGGCCGGCACUGACGCUGAGGAGCGAAAGCGUGGGUAGCAAACAGG